ACAGCAUUCGGACCGUCGGUCUACCGAGCAAAUACCACCCGCUCGUGGAAGGUCUUCCCUUUAGUCGU
rnacentral:pre_miRNA from 1 species